AGUCGGCAUCCUUUGUUCUUCGCAGGCUUGUAGCUUUCUGAAAUUUUUCUCCCCUUUCCUAAUUUGAGUAAAUGUUUUCAAGCAAUGGAAAAUACCUUAUCGAGCUGAAAUGCGAUAACGCCCUUGAGAUGUUAAUAAAUAUGCGGUUAUCGAAGACAGGGGUGCAUCGAGGGAGGGGGCAGGAGAGAGUUCCGUCCCUGGCCGCUGAUCGGAGGAGGCCUCCAAAGAGCUGAAGGUUUUCAAGUAUAUGUACCUAUGUAGGAAUAUAAAAAAUAAAAUUUAAAAAAAAAAAAAAAAAAAAAAAAA